CAGCUUUAAGACACUUCAUUGGCUUCACUCUUUAGAACCGGAGGUUGCCGGCAAUUUGAAUCAAAGAGUUAACUGUCGACUCGACUUGAAGUGCUCUGACAUUGUAUUUUUAGAAACCUGGAUCUCCCAAAGUCAAUCCCUCCACUUUGCAACUGUAUUAAUUAUUGUAAUUCAUAUCAAAACGUGUAUAUUUCUUUUGUUGGAGUGUUUGCAGCAGUACAAAUUCCUCAAAUGACAUUCAGCCCACAAGGCUGAGAUAUUCAGAUGAACUAUUGCCGUAAUGUCUGACCGUAGCCUAACCUGUUUCUGGUUGGUGAGGUGAUACUGGAAAUGAAAUUACUGGUGACUGGGAUGUGGUUCGACUGUCGCAAGAUGCAAAUCUUCUCUUUCUCGUCUGGUGUAAUAAGAAGUCGUCUCGUUCUUUCAGGAGUCAAAUGAAUGCAGUAAAGGGCUUCUUUUAUCCAUGCUGUUGGCCUUAUUAUGGGUCAUUUGUUGUCUAUGGUGCAGGUCUCUGAAAUGUUUUUAGCAGCAAAUCCUUAAAACCUUUCCAAAGAAACACCUAAUUGACUGAGUGAAUGGAAUGUUAUGGUGUCCUGUAGGUCACUGAAUUCUUUUCACUCUGUACAAUCUGAAUGAACGACAUGUCACAUUUUAAAAUAUCAGUAGAAAUGUGCAGAUGGUGUUUGUCUCCCCAGUGCUGAAAUUCCAUGAAAAUAUUUUAAUUCCAUGUGUCAGAGAGUCAAAAAUGUUUGUAAGCUGCGCACAGGAACUGAGCAGGCUUGUGUUCAAUGUCUUGGUCACGGAAAAACUUCAGCAGAACAAACAGCUGCCGACAGGUUAGACGGCUGUAACGUGAAUCUGACUAAAGCUGCUGUGUGUUAUUGUUUUUUGCAGAUCAUGACUCUGGAAGACGGCUACUGAAAUUCUGUUUGGUAUAAAGACUCUUCAGCUACAGGACAGUGCCACACUGAGCUCUGACCAGAUGGAGGUGAAUGCCGUUAAAAAACGCCAUCGCACACGAUCCAAAGGAGUCAGAACCGCCGUUGAAGCAGUGACACAGGAGCUAUUCAGGUAGGAAAACCUCUGCUGAUCCAGAACACAUCCAUCACUGUACUUAUUGUUGUGUUUUGUAUUGCGUUGUUCUGUCCUAUUGCGUUGUUCUGUCCUGGUUGUGGAACAGCGGGCCAGUCGUGGAGGUUUAACCUCCAUGUGCUUUUUGAUCGAGUGACCCAGCAAUGAGUGCAAGAAGUGUUUCAGUGUUCUUGACAAGCUGAAGUCAAACUCGCUUUCAGUGAAGGUGGAGACAGAUAUUUUGUGCCUUUUAUUUCUUAUUUUUAUUUGAGCGUGGGGAUUUAUUGUAUACUUAACAAUAAGUACCCACAAAUAUGUAUCAGCCCCCGGUGAUUUAAACAAAAACGAGUUUGACUUCCUGUCUUUGUAAAACUAAAUAUAACCAAUAAAUACAUAGAUAUAAAUUGUUAUUUAUUAGCAAAAUACUUGGUAAAAUAUCUUCAAAACUUAGACAGGAAUUAAAAUUCCAGUAUGUAAUAUAUAUAUUAUAUUAUUAUAAUAUAUAAAUAUAUACACAUUUAGAAUUGAAUUGGACAGAUCAGUCCCAUUGUCACAGACACCAGAUCCAGCUGUUAGUCAGUAUCCGCGAUAUACAAUAUUGAUGCAUACCUAACUUUAAGUAAAGUAAAUAGGCCAGAAGCCGAAGGAGCCAUAUAUAAAGGAACCGCUACACCACAGGAUUAAAUGUUUGCCGUUUGCUUUUCUGUUGAGUCCUCUAGUGCACAUUUGUAUGAAGCGACUUAAGUGGUCCUCGCCACAAACAUGAUGUUUUACCUUCUUCACGCGUGAACAUAAUGUAGCUUCAGAUACAUCGGUGGAUUGACGCGUCGCACUGGCAGCCACGCAGAAGCUUUUACCAAAUAGUUUUAGCCGAAGACGGAGCUGAGCUCGAAGGCAAAGUGAAUAGAUGAAUGUAGAUAUUUAGAGUAAAUCAUGGUAUUAUGUCACACACUAGAGUGGGUCAGCAGAAGUACGUUCAUAUGUUAAAACUUUCAGUCGAAUUCGACCAUCACAUUUUGAGGAUUCGCUACAUUUUGCAUGAUGACUGUAGAAACACACCAGCAGCUGCUGACCUGUAAAUGCUGAAUAUCACUGUUACCUGUGUGUGUGUGUGUGUGUGUGUGUGUGUGUUUCUGCUUCAC